rnacentral:lncRNA from 1 species
GGGACCCCACGCUCGAGCCAGAUGAGCUCGAUGGCUAGCAGCCCCGACAACCAUGAUUCCCCAGAGAACAAGAAGGUCGACCCUUUCACUCUGGUUUUUUCUUUUCUUUCCAAGUGACUACUGCUCUUCUUUAGUAUAGUUCUCCAGGGACUCUCCAAUUUUCUUGGACUGAACCUGAUGCAGAAAACGUGGCCGCUUUAUUUCCUGAUACUCGCAAGUUACAGCCAACAAUAGACUAGCACUGUUGGCUAUUUCCCUUUUAUUCUCUCACCGUGCGAGCAUUUGCAGUGUAGAGUUUGUGUAAUCUGCUAGUUAAUUAAGUAACUACCGUACUAGUUAGACAAGCUGUGUGGUGGUUCACGUUUAGUCCCUAACCAAAAAUUAGGCCAUGCCCAUAUUACUGUUCUUCUCCUUUCUAUUAUUAUUAGUCUGGCAUAUCCCUAUAUUUUUAUAUUAUCUACCACUUUACUCCCUGGCAUAGUUGCAAACUACUUCUACACCGAGAAGUGGUUGUUUGGUAUAGUAUACCAGUGUGCAUUUUUAUUUGUAGCAGAAGUUGUCUAAGUUAGAUGUACUCAUGUUUGUUGCUAUUAGGAUCAAAUAUCAAUGCUAGUUCAGACAUACUACCUACCAUCUUGAAAUAUAAAAUGUUUUUAUAGGCUAAACUACCCUACAAAAACGUAUAUAUAUUUUGAGACUGAGGUAGUACUUGUUAGUUCUGACCAUGCCUAGCUUAAGGACUGAUCGGUAUUCUUGAAAAAAAAUCCUGCAUAUGUUCGUACAUUUUCCUAUCUGAAUUAAUGUUGGAUGUAUUUUGGUGUGUGCAUGUGACAUUCAAGGCACAUUUUUGCAAUAUAUGUUAGUAUAUGGUGCUGUGAAACUUCUACAAUUGAACAUACCACGGCAAGCUUCAGAAGUAACUUUCUUCCAUCUACAAAAGCUGAGAGGCAGAGGGAGGGGCACAUAGUUUUACCAUUGAAUAAGAUACUCUCUAAAGCUUCAGAAGUUCAGUUUCAAAAAAAAGCUUCAGAAGUAACUUUCUUCCAUCUACAAAAGCUGAGAGGCAGAGGGAGGGGCACAUAGUUUUACCAUUGAAUAAGCUACUCCCUGAGCUAGAGUGAGGGGCACAACAUUUACCACUAAAUAUGCUGCUCCAUUCAACAUGAUUGAGGCUCUAAAAUGAAAGUUUAACAAUCUGCAGCUUUAUAGAUUUAGAGCCACACACAAAUAAUGAAAUAGUGUAACAAUCUACAGCUUUGAAAAUGUUGGUGUUCUUAUUUGAUCUUGGUUUGUAGCAAAUAAUAAUAUUAGUGUUAUCAUUGACUUUGGGCUCCAAUGAAAUUCUUGUACGUGUCAAUCCUAAUUCUCUGCCAAAAGUUGUUUAACAGUAUGCUAAUGCUUUGCCCAGGUCUAUCUCAUGGACACCCAGAUUUUGUAUGCAAUUUUCUCAACACCAUCGCGUUACCUCACUGCUGGUGGUAAUUUUGCAUCGCCACUUAUUUUUUUAUCAUUGUUACUGUCAAAUACUAAUUCUUCAGCUGUACGCUUGAUAAUUGUUGAUGAUCUCUUAGCGUUACAAGUGAAAUGUAUCCUUGGGCAAAAUGUCCACAUUCUUAGAUAGGUCCAUUACUAUCUCCUUCAUAGCCUUUUGGUUUUAUUAUUUUCACUAUAUACCUUUUUUUGUUCUAAGUUUCCAACUGUUAAGUGUUAACAAUAUGUGGAUAUUGUUAUUCAGGGUAUAUCCAAUUUCUUAAUGCUCUGAUAGGGUAGGUUCUGGGGUUGGUUAACCUCAUUUAUGCAAAUUGUUGGUACCCAAAGGUGCCAUUCUAUCAAUAUUGACAAGCUGAUUCAUGCCUACUUACAAGGCUGGAAAAAUAAUGUAUUAUUGGACACAACUGUAGAAGUAUGUAGAUGUUUGUUUUCUCAACACAUAACUAUCCCUUCUUUUAUUAUCAUCAAGGAUCUCUGGACAUAUGAUAAUUGAACGAAUCUUGUGCUCUGUUGUAUGUAUUGUCCCCCUUUGUUAGACCAGUUUUUUUUUCUUUUUCUUGUUUGGAUGAUAUGCACAAGUAUGUAACAUUUAAAUUUUUUACCCACAACUUGGUUGUCUUAAUUAAUAUGGAUCUAGAUGAAACUUAUAUAUGUAGUGGAUACUAUGUUAUUCUUGUUUGUAGCACUGCAAGAUUUAAGAAUUUUGGAGAGCAUGAGUUAUUCAUUUUUACUUUGAUAAUUCUCAUAUUUUACAAUCUAUGCAUAUCUACAAAUAUCUAAUGGUCUUGUAAAUAUGCUAGGUAUGAUUGCGUACCAGGCUACUUGGUGCUGCCCAUCAAAAUUCGCAUGACAUGAUAGUUUCCAUCAGGAGGGCCGAUGGCAAGAACUUGAAUAACAACUUCACUAGUUUAAAUGUUCUGUUUGUGUGAACUGGAUUGUACUGUUUCCUAACUUUGCUGAGUGAUAUAUUUUAUUAAUCUAUGUUGUAAAUUAUCAUCUCGUGGAGGAUUUUGUAAACUGCUAUGUUAUAGAUGCUUGCAGAUGACUGCAUAUAUUUAUUCAUAUGUGCACGUGAGGCACUUUGGAAAUACC